UCGCAAAGAAGCUUAAACAUACUUUAAAACUUAUAAAAUUGUGUAGAUAUCAGAUGUUAUGGAGCUUUACGAUGCUCUGGUGCAUAGAAAUAGAAUGAAAAUCAGUAACUAGCUCUUAAUAGUUGAUUGAAAAUACAAUGACUGAGUUAAAUCUCAGUUUAUCUGAAUGGAAUCAGAAAUAGGGGAUUAUGAAUAUAGUCAAGACAUGAGAUGACGUAAUUGGCGAAACCUUUUUGCUGGAUACGUGGAUGCAAAGACUUACUCAUUGAGUUUGUAACAAAAUGCCUUGAGAACGCGGCAGUUUAGAUGAAGUUAGCACUUUCAUGACGAAUUGAAAUGUAAAUAAAAUGACUUUUUAUUUAAAAAAAAAGCAUUUUAAACUUACCCUGUUAUCAUAACCUAGAGCUCCCCUUUUUUGAGGCACUGUCUUAUAUUCCCAGUCAUAUUUCCCAUGUUGCAAAAGAAAUGCAGCUGCAGGAAUCUCUGUGAUUGCAUCGGGAUUGGGCCCAGCUUCCAAAA